UCUGGAUUCUCUUGCAUCUUUCUCUUAACUCCUUCCGGAGCAUGUUUUAACAGAGCUAUUCUGAACAGAGGCUGCUGUGAUUCUUUAUCUGGGUUCACCCCCGUAGCCCCCGCCCACUCUGUCUUUGCUCUUUCUAUGAACGUGCGUCCGCUCUCCCCGUUCUUAAUCUUAAACACCAAGCUGUGGAGCUUGCCCGCUGGUAUGGGAUACUUUUGUCUAAUAGCAUUACCGUAGGAGGUAGCAUAGGGUGUCUAGGUGUCAUCUGAU